UACAGAGGGGGCAAGCGUUGUUCGGAAUUACUGGGCGUAAAGGGCGCGUAGGCGGCCUGCUAAGUCGAACGUGAAAUCCCUGGGCUCAACCCAGGAACUGCGUCCGAUACUGGUUGGCUUGAAUCCGGGAGAGGGACGUGGAAUUCCAGGUGUAGCGGUGAAAUGCGUAGAUAUCUGGAGGAACACCGGUGGCGAAGGCGACAUCCUGGACCGGCAUUGACGCUGAGGCGCGAAAGCCAGGGGAGCAAACGGG
rnacentral:rRNA from 1 species